rnacentral:lncRNA from 1 species
GAUCUUCGACACCCCUGAACAUUUCUUAUGGAGCAAAUCGCUACAUCAUACCUCUACCAUGCUCUGUUCGAUGCUUUAUUCUGCCCCCGACCCCCUAUUAGUGCUCAAUCUCGGUGCUCACCAAAAUUCCUCUUAGCUGUUGGCAAGCACACACAUGGUUCUGUUGCCAUAGGGCCUCUUAAAACCUUAAAUUCAAGCC